UCCGGUUUGUCACCGGCAGUCUCGCAUGAGUCCCCAACUAAAUGCUGGCAACAUGCGACGGGGGUUGCGCUCGUUGCGGGACUUAACCCAACAUCUCACGACACGAGCUGACGACAGCCAUGCACCACCUGUGAAGGUGCCCCGAAGGGAAGGCGUGUUUCCACGCCGGUCACCCACAUGUCAAGCCCAGGUAAGGUUCUUCGCGUUGCGUCGAAUUAAACUACAUGCUCCGCUGCUUGUGCGGGCCCCCGUCAAUACCUUUGAGUUUCGGUCUUGCGACCGUACUCCCCAGGCGGAGUGUUUCACGCGUUAGCGACGGCACCGGGAGGGUCGCUCCCCCCGACGCCUAGUGCCCAUCGUUUACGGCGUGGACUAC
rnacentral:misc_RNA from 1 species